AUACGUAGGUGACAAGCGUUAUCCGGAUUUACUGGGCGUAAAGGGCGUGUAGGCGGUCUUGCAAGUCAGAAGUGAAAUUCCUGAGCUCAACUCGGGCGCUGCUUCUGAAACUGCAGGACUUGAGUGCUGGAGGGGAUAGCGGAAUUCCUAGUGGAGCGGUAAAAUGCGCAGAUAUUAGGAAGAACACCGGUGGCGAAGGCGGCUUACUGGGCUUUUACUGACGCUGAGGCUCGAAAGCGUGGGGAGCAAACAGGAUUAGAUACCCUGGUAGUCCACACUGUAAACGAUGAAUGCUAGGUGUAGGGGGUAUCGACCCCUUCUGUGCCGCAGUCAACACAAUAAGCAUUCCGCCUGGGGAGUACGGCCGCAAGGUUGAAACUCAAAUGAAUUGACGGGG
rnacentral:rRNA from 1 species